rnacentral:rRNA from 1 species
UGCCUAACACAUGCAAGUCGAAUGUGCCGCAAGGUGCAUGGCAGACGGGUGAGUAACGCGUGGGUAAUCUACCUCUUAGUGGGGAAUAACGUUCCGAAAGGAAUGGUAAUACCGCAUGAGACCGAUGACUGGAAUGUUGUCGGUGAAACCUGGGGACCUUCGGGCCUGGGGCUAGGAGAGGAACCUGCGUCUGAUUAGCUAGUUGGUGGGGUAAUGGCCUACCAAGGCGACGAUCAGUAGCCGGCCUGAGAGGGUGAUCGGCCACACUGGAACUGAGACACGGUCCAGACUCCUACGGGAGGCAGCAGUGGGGAAUUUUGCGCAAUGGACGAAAGUCUGACGCAGCAACGCCGCGUGGGUGAUGAAGGUCUUCGGAUUGUAAAACCC